UACGAAGGGGCUAGCGUUGCUCGGAAUCACUGGGCGUAAAGGGCGCGUAGGCGGCCAUUCAAGUCGGAGGUGAAAGCCCAGGGCUCAACCCUGGAAUUGCCUUCGAUACUGUUGGCUAGAGACCGGAAGAGGUAAGUGGAACUGCGAGUGUAGAGGUGAAAUUCGUAGAUAUUCGCAAGAACACCAGUGGCGAAGGCGGCUUACUGGUCCGGUUCUGACGCUGAGGCGCGAAAGCGUGGGAGCAAACAGGAUUAGAAACCUGGU
rnacentral:rRNA from 1 species